rnacentral:rRNA from 1 species
GGGUCAGUAGGUUGGUCGUGCCACCGGUACGUACUGGUCUCACUGAUUCCUCCUUCCUGAAGAACCGUAAUGCCAUUAAUUUGGUGUUGCGGGGAAACAGGACUGUUACUUUGAAAAAACUAGAGUGUUUAAAGCAAGCUAACGCUUGAAUACAUUAGCAUGGAAUAAUGAAAUAGGACGAUCGAUCCUAUUUUGCUGGUUUCUAGGAUUGACGUA